rnacentral:rRNA from 1 species
GCAGCGAAAGCGAGUCUGAAUAGGGCGUUGAGUAUUUGGUCGUAGACCCGAAACCAGGUGAUCUACCCUUGGUCAGGUUGAAGUUCAGGUAACACUGAAUGGAGGACCGAACCGACUUACGUUGAAAAGUGAGCGGAUGAACUGAGGGUAGCGGAGAAAUUCCAAUCGAACUUGGAGAUAGCUGGUUCUCUCCGAAAUAGCUUUAGGGCUAGCCUCAAGUGAUGAUUAUUGGAGGUAGAGCACUGUUUGGACGAGGGGCCCCUCUCGGGUUACCGAAUUCAGACAAACUCCGAAUGCCAAUUAAUUUAACUUGGGAGUCAGAACAUGGGUGAUAAGGUCCGUGUUCGAAAGGGAAACAGCCCAGACCACCAGCUAAGGUCCCAAAAUAUAUGUUAAGUGGAAAAGGAUGUGGCGUUGCCCAGACAACUAGGAUGUUGGCUUAGAAGCAGCCAUCAUUUAAAGAGUGCGUAAUAGCUCACUAGUCGAGUGACACUGCGCCGAAAAUGUACCGGGGCUAAACAUAUUACCGAAGCUGUGGAUUGUCCUUUGGACAAUGGUAGGAGAGCGUUCUAAGGGCGUCGAAGCAUGAUCGCAAGGACAUGUGGAGCGCUUAGAAGUGAGAAUGCCGGUGUGAGUAG